UACGUAGGGGUCUAGCGUUGUCCGGAAUUAUUGGGCGUAAAGAGCUCGUAGGCGGUUCGGCAAGUCGGAUGUGAAAUCUCCACGCUUAACGUGGAGGGGCCAUUCGAAACUGCCGUGACUCGAGUCCGGUAGGGGAGUGCGGAAUUCCCGGUGUAGCGGUGAAAUGCGCAGAUAUCGGAAGGAACACCAGUGGCGAAAGCGGCUUCCUGGUCCAGCACCGACGUUCAGGCACGAAAGCGUGGGGAGCAAACAGG
rnacentral:rRNA from 1 species